rnacentral:tRNA from 1 species
GGGGUUGUGGCUAAGUGGUAGAGCCCUUAUCUAGCAUUUGUGAGACCCUGAGUUCAAUUCUCAGCAUCACAU